CCUACGGGAGGCUGCAGUGGGGAAUAUUGGACAAUGGGGGCAACCCUGAUCCAGCCAUGCCGCGUGUGUGAAGAAGGCCCUCGGGUUGUAAAGCACUUUCAGUGAGGAAGAACGCCUGGUGGUUAAUACCGAUCAGGAAAGACAUCACUCACAGAAGAAGCACCGGCUAACUCCGUGCCAGCAGCCGCGGUAAUACGGAGGGUGCGAGCGUUAAUCGGAAUUACUGGGCGUAAAGCGCGCGUAGGUGGCUUGAUAAGCCGGUUGUGAAAGCCCCGGGCUCAACCUGGGAACGGCAUCCGGAACUGUCAAGCUAGAGUGCAGGAGAGGAAGGUAGAAUUCCCGGUGUAGCGGUGAAAUGCGUAGAGAUCGGGAGGAAUACCAGUGGCGAAGGCGGCCUUCUGGACUGACACUGACACUGAGGUGCGAAAGCGUGGGUAGCAAACAGGAUUAGAUACCCCAGUAGUC
rnacentral:rRNA from 1 species